UACGGAGGGUGCAAGCGUUACUCGGAAUUACUGGGCGUAAAGCGUGCGCAGGCGGUGAUGUAAGACAGGUGUGAAAUCCCCGGGCUUAACCUGGGAACUGCAUUUGUGACUGCAUCGCUGGAGUGCGGCAGAGGGGGAUGGAAUUCCGCGUGUAGCAGUGAAAUGCGUAGAUAUGUGGAGGAAUACCGAUGGCGAAGGCAGCCCCCUGGGAUAACACUGACGCUCAUGCACGAAAGCGUGGGGAGCAAACAGG
rnacentral:rRNA from 1 species